rnacentral:lncRNA from 10 species
AAAGAGAUGGGGCUGAGGCCACCGGCUUGCAAGGGACCCUGCCUGCAGCUUCCAGAGCCCAGCGGCUGGGCCAUGCGGAGAGGAACGGACUGGCUGGGACCUGGCAUGGGUCCAGUCCUGCCACCACUUUGCUCCUGGACAGGGUCAUCUGUGCCUCUUUUCAUCCGGUGAUUAUUGCACUUAUCUAAUAAAUAAAAAUUACAUGAGACGCUAUAAAUAGAAGUUCUGGACAUGGUAGGACCGCAUAGGCAUCAGCUAUGAUUUAAACCACAUGGCAACAGCAUGGCCUCUAGGAAGAGGGAGGCAGCGGGGAGGCUGUUCUGGUGCGAGAUGAGCUCUGAGCAAGGCCCAGACAGGUUGCUGGUUAAGGCAGGAAAGGUGAGUCAUCUUGUUCUCUAAGAUUCCGAGAAGAUGUCCUUAGGGUGAUUUUUACAAUGUUUCUUUGAAUCACCUUUUUCUGCUAAUGAUGACAAAUUACACUUUUAGAGAUAAUUUGAGUGUAUUCCCUUCACUUAGUAAUGUAAUUUGUUGUUUUCAGGGCAAAUAAGAUUCGACGAUGCAGGAAUCUCUGGGACUUUGCUCCUAGGACUGCCCGGGAAUCUUGACCCAUCGCUAAGUAAGAUGGUGUUUAUAAACACAGGUGAGUUUCCUGUUUGUAGGGUUGUCUCGGCAAGACGUGGUUCCAUGAGGACCAGUUUGCCCAGGUGCAGAUCUGUGGUUUACACACAUAAGUGACAUCUGUAGGACCAUGAUGUCGCUCAGAAGCACUGUAGUGAUGGCUGAAAUUAAGCAGCCACAGGGAGACCUUUAGCUACUUAAAGAAGUCCAAAUAACAGAAGAGAGACUGGUGUUGACCUUAGGUGACAAGGCCAAGAGAACUGAGCCAGUAUCUCUGCAGCACAAGCCAGCAAGGCCACAGAGAAGAGGAGUCUCUGUUGACACCACUGCUGCUAUUGUUCUUUUCCCUGAAAAACACAGUGUUCUCUGUUCUUCAUCUCCCUUUACUUAUUUAUUGGAUUUUCUACAUUAUUCCAUUUGCUUAAAGUUCCAAAGAGUACACAUAAGAACACCAUUGAUUGAAAUAAUUAAAACAGAUAGCUUCAAUAACAGCAAAACUGAACAGCAAUGCAGCAGCUGAUUUCUCUUUUGCCAUUCUCUUGGGGUGUGGGUUUUGAAAAGCCAACUUGACUCCAGAAUUUUUCAAUAUGCUUCGCUGUUGGAAAUGGCUAUGCCUUAAGGAAGUCAAGACCAGCCUUGUUCUCCUUAGACCAAGAGACCUGAGGAAGCACCUCACUGGCCCUCACCUGUGAAGGGGAAUUGGCUUCUCCUCGGACAGUUAUGAGAGUUUGCACCCUAGAAGUGAGGUGCAUAGCAGCAUGCUGGAUGUGCUGUUUGCUUUUUUGUAAAUAGGUGUUCUUUUGUUCAUGCAAGAUGUUAGAGAAUUCUGUUUUCAUUUUUUAGGGGAACCUCUCAAAGGAACAAAAAGCAUUUAUUCACUCAACCUGGGACUUCAACUUUAUGGAAGAAGUAAGAGAAGAAGAGGAAGAAGAGGAAGAAGAAGCGGUGGCGGCGGAGGAGGAAGAGGAGGAGGAGGAAGAGAAGAGGAAGAAGAAGAAGGAGGAGGAGUAGCAGGAGGAGAAGAAGAGGAGGAGGAGGAGGAAUGCAUUUGUAUUCCGUCUGGAAAAGAGCUUUCCCUAGGCAAAGCUAAGACACACAGCUGCAGCCUUGACCGAUGACAGCUGUCCAUUUCAGGUCCCACUCAUAGAAAUAAUGACCCGGGCACAGGCAGCAAUUGUAGCAGACGCUAUUCCUUUUUUCUGUGUGUGCAUCAUUUUCGUUUGGUUUGUUUCUUACUCUUUGGUAGGAAUUUCUGCUUGAUGCUCCCACAGGACCUCGGUUCAGCUGGAUCAGUGGAAAACCUGUACAACUUGUCCCUUUAUAAAAACUCCCAGUUACAGUUUUUCUUUGAUAUUUACUUUGGAAUACCUAGAGACUCUUCCCACCCACAUCCCCCUUUCCAAAGACAACAUGGUCGUGUUGGAAACAAAAUUCGGGAGACCAGAGGACUUUGACUGUGGGAAGAAAUGUGGUAGUUUAGGAACCUGCGACUCCUUCUUCCCAGCCCUCCAGACCCUCCAAAGAGCUGUUGACAAGAGCCUUAGAUGAAGGCCCUGAGCUGUAGCCUAGCGCAAUUCUCCUUUGCCUAUCUGAAGAGCAGGACAGGCAGGAUUAGCGAGGCAAACAAAACCUGAAGGACUUCUUAAUAGCCAGACAUCUGAGGCCCUUCAGAACCACUUUGAAGAUCGGGGGUGAUACUGGCUGAGGCUCCAGGUUUAUCAUUUGAUUUGUGACUUUCAGCUCAGGCAGGAGACAGAGAGGAGAGUUCACCAGAGACAAGUCACUUCUGUUGAAUGAGUCACCAUCGCCACACAGCUGCUUGUUCCAGAGCAGCUAUGGUGGGGACAUUGUCUAGGAUCCCAGGAAAAGUGAAAACAUUGACCGGAAUGUUUCCAGCACAAUGAAUGUGAUAACAGAGAAUGAAUAAGUGGAACAGCUCCAACACAGCCAAGAAGAUGUUGCUUUAUGAGAGCUGACUUUCCCCAGAGCAGUGCGCUCCCAUCACAAGGAGGAUUAAUUCAUACAUUUCAAGGCCUAAAUGACAGACGAUAAAUGUGUGUAAUUAUGUAAGUGAGCCCACUGUGUUAGUAUGCAAAGGUGCCCACUUUUCCUGCAUCAGAUAUUGACCCUCUUCCAUGUCAAAAUUCAGAGAGUGACAGCUGCCAAUCUCACCCCAGCAUCCUCACCUGCUAACCAGGUAUCUGUACUCACUCAGCGUGCCUGCUUGGCGAAUCUCAGCUGAGUCAGUUACAACAGGUCCCCUUUCAGACAGGUGAUGAUUAGAAGGUUUGUGACUCAAAGAGCAUGACGUGUUCCCUUUCCUCUGCAGCAGGAAGAUACUCCCUGAUAUCGUAGCAGUGACUCAGCCUGCCAAGACAAUCCAUUUCAUUCUUGUACCAUUCUUGCAUAAAUCACAGUGCAGAAAGCUUGGCAAGAUAAUUUUUAAAUUUUAAACUCGACCAGGAGAACUGUUGAGAAAUAAGACUUCAUAUUGAAGUACGUUUCCUCUCCUCGGAAGCUUUCAAGAGGCGAUGCUGGGUGAAGGGUUACUCCAAGUUCUGGAGGCUGAAAGUCCAAGAUCACGAUGCUGGCAGAAUCGGUGUCUGGUGGGAGCCUGUUUCCUGGCUCGUUGAUGGUGCCUUCUCCUUGGGUCCUCACCCGGUGAAAGAGGUGAGGGAGCUCUCUCUGGCCAUUUUUUCUAAGGGCCCUAAUCCCAUCCUUAAGGACUCCAUCCUUAUGACCUCAUCACUUCCCAAAGAUGGCAUCUCCUAAUACUUAAGAGGUCAGGAUUUCGACAUGAAUUUUGAAGGAACACAAAUAUUCAGUCCAUAGCACCUUCCAAAGAGUUAGAGUGUGUGUUCCCAGCCUCAGCCACGUUGACAUUCUGACGGAAACAGUUCUUUGUGGUAGGAGACCGUCCUGUACACAGUGUGUUCAACAGCACCCCUGGCCCUCACCCACUAGAUGGUAGGUGCAUAUCUGUCACUUGUGACAAGCAAACUUACCUCCAGGCAUUGCCACAUGUCCCCUGCUCGGGUGGGAUGUGGGAAGCCAAGUCAACCCCAGGAGAGAGCCACUGAUGGAGACAUUCCAGGGCAAUCUUAUUCCUGAAGUCCUGUGUCUUAGUUAGAAACGUAAAAUACGUGAGUGGCAAACAACCCAAGACUUCCUUGCUGAACAGCAGGAAAUCAGCCUCCUGUAGCCCCACUCCUCACCUCCACUUGGCAUGACCAACCUCCUCAGUCCUCAGUGGGUUUUCUUCCCUCUUCCCUGGAACUGUGUAAGGAUUCCUGAUGUCUCCACCAGGCCCUAGCCUGACACCUGCUCCUCACGGCUCAGGACGCUGCCCCUCAAAGGCCUGGCCCAAAAUAGGAGCUGAUAAUCUGGCAUGACUUCUUAUACUAAGCCUUCCAAUUUCUCUCUGGAUUAGAUUCUUUUCUCCCUCUCCCUGGGAUAGGAAACAUUCAGAGUUUGACUCUUGAUUUGCCCACCACCCCAGGGCUGUGCCCCACAUGGCUUCUUUGGGAUAUUUAGAAGAAAAAUCCUCAUAAGAAAUUGACUGUGAGGGCCGGGCGCAGUGGCUCACACCUAUAAAUCUCAGAACUUUGGGAGGCCGAGGAAGGCAGAUCACUGAAGCUCAGGAGUUCGAGACCAGCCUGUCUGUACUAAAAAUACAAAUAUUGGCUAGGCAUGGUGGCACACACCUGUAAUCUCAGCUACUUGGGAGGCUGAGGCAGGAGAAUCGCUUGAACCUGGGAGGCAGAGGUUGUGGUAAGCCGAGAUUGGGCCACUUCACUCCAGCCUGGGUAACAGAGCGAGAUUCUGUCUUAAAAAAAAAAAAAGACUGUGAUAGGAAAUGGUUCUCUCUAGUCCUCAAAAUGUUUUUUAUGAAAUAGAUCCCAUCACGAUGAGACCUGCUGCAUUCAUGAUGUCAGAAUCAUCAUACAAAGGUGCACACUGGUGUAUUUAAACUUGGGAUAUGGCAUGCUUGCCUCUGUGCAAACUGUACAUGCCGAUUUCCACUCUCUAGGGGAUCAUUCUGAGGCCACCAGGGGCUACUCUGAUAACACACAGCCCUGCAGGAAGCAGAGCUCCUCCUGGCCUCCCCAACACCCUUGGGGCAGAACAGGAACUUCUCCAAGCACCUGUCCUCCUUCUACUGCAAUUUCUCCUUCACCUUCAGUGAUUGUCUUUAUAUAAUGUAGAGCCCAAGUUCAAGGGCUUGUCUCCAGGAUGAUGCCUUAUGACAUACAAUUUUCUGGGCAAAUUUCUACCUCUUUCCCAUUAAAACCAUGUCUGCAUCCACAGUGACACGUUCCUGAGAACACUGCGGACAGAAGGCGCAAAUGUCUCAUACCUGAACUUAGCCCACGUGUCGCUUCUGUGUUUAUUAUGUUUUUGUUAGAAUUGGUCUGUGUUCAUUCUAAGUGUAAAAAGAACGCAAAUUAAAUAGGAUACAAGAUAUAUGACUAAAACCUUUUAAAACUAAUAUUUAUAUGAAAUAAGACAUUCUGUGUUAUUUUUAGGUGAGGUGAGAAAAAUGUCCUAUUAUAAGAUAUAUAGUUUCUUAUAAUGGAAAGAAACAUACAUAUUUCCCAUUAAAUAACCUCUGACAUUAUUUUAACAUUUUCUACCAAGUUUAUUACUGAUAAAUAGAAGUCAAGAAAUAACGCCACUGAGAAUAUCCUAUAUUGAAGAAUCUUGUUUUAUAAAGCAUCUUCCCAUACAAUGAUAAUCGGUUACUGUAAUAUCUUUUCAAGCCAUACCACUCAGAAAUAUUUUAAAUAUUAUACAACUUUGUAUAUAUAUAUAUAUUAUAUAUAUGCAUAUUUUCUUUAGUCAAUGACAUGAUGCUUUACACAAGUCAAAUAUUAUAUUCAUAAUCUUAGAAAAGAUCUCAUAAAGAACUUGGUAACUAACUUUGAGUGUAUGUGAGACUCUUUCAGGACACUCUUAAGAAAUCAAACAUUUGGUAUUGUGUUCUUUGCUCGAGUACAACUUGAUCAUACGAGUCUAAUCUGUGUUUCCAUGUUUCUGCAUUUGAAUGAAACUAAACUGAAAUGCUUGGAACCAGUGCCUUUCCUCUCUGAAGGCUCUGCACUAUGGGCCAUGUGACUGUUCUCAGAUGUUGAAAGAAACCCACCUCCAGGAACUGGACCUCACUUGACCAAGCAAACCACGCGACACCAGCCUAUGUGUCCACUCACCCUUGAAAGAAUGGAGGGAAAAGCUUCUCCUGCUGGGCUGUGUCCUGCAGCCGGGAAUCCUGGCGGGAGGCAGAGGCCUCUGAUACGCUUCUGAUGGGUGGGUGGGAGGUCCGUGUGUGCGUGCAUGCGUGCAUGUGUGUGUGAGAGAGACAGGAAUGUGCCUUCUUUAUCAGAAGCCAUUUCCUAUGUUCAAAUGUGAUUUCUCUAUUUAUCUACAAUCUCAACUAGAAGCAUAGAAAGAAUUCUCACUCAUGUUUAGGGGGAAAGAAGUCCAGCUGUGUCUAUGAAAGCAUUCAUAUUAUCUCUCCCCCACCCCUUCAAUAUCUUGCCCAAAGCAUUAGACAUUCACUGUAGGUUUAGGCUAAAAACUUUAUUCUAUUUAGCUGAGCGUUUCCAAUAUGUUAAUAGGAAUAUGAGAGAAGCGACACGCUUGAAAACAUCACAGUUAAUUCCUCCAUUGCAAGAUACAGUGAUUGAUUGAUAGAUGAUGGAUAGCUAGACAUAGGCAGACAGAUGGAUACAGAAGCAUAAUAACAUAAGUGGAAAAUGGUCAGAAGUAGCAAAAGUUAAGGGGAAAAUUGCCUUGAAUUUCCCCACUGAGCUACCUUUGGCAGUGUCUAGGAGCCCCAGGAAGCGCUCAGCACACAUGUAUUAAUCAAGUAUGCCUUAAACAUUCAAGCCUGGACACACAAAGCAAUUUCAGCUUUUUUGUGAAAUAAAUAUCAGGUAUUAAAAACAUACUUGGACACAGAACUGUUUUCAGUCCUCGGACAAAGGCCAAAUAAUCUGAGAUGUGCACUGGGAAAAAAAGAAAGGCAGGCUUUCAGUUUCCUUUGGCAUGAAUCCAAUUUGUGCAAAGUGCUGAGCCUCCACAUCCUGGGAGAAGCCUCAGCCUAAAGCCCUCCUGGGGCCACGCUGGUUCCCUUCCCUGAUGGCUGGACCCGGGUCGUCUCAGGGGCUUCCCAGCUGGGCUGCAGGGUCAGCUGUCAGCCAUAAGUGGGCCCUUUGCUUCAAUUGUCUCUGAUGUCGCUAAGCUGCUGCAGAACCGGAGACAGAUACAAUGUCAGACUCCGUCUUAAACCCCAAGGACUGUGUCAGGGCCACUGUCAUUUCAUUCCUGUCUUUCAAAUAUCUUUACAAAUGUAAUUAAUGGGGAAUCAGCUGUCAAAUCCAUCUUUUAAUAAUCAAAUCUUAGGUGGCAAGAUUCGAUUUUGCUUUGGGUUUCCUGAUGGUUCAGAAUGUGUUCCACGCAGCUCCCUCCCUUCUCAGCCAGUUCCCCGACCAGCUCGGGGGAACAACUAUUUUUAGAUCCAGGCAAGCCCCGGAGUGUCAGACGGUGAAUUAUUAGCUGUGACUUCAAAAACAGUCACGGAGAUACUUUCGAAACCUCUGAUUUCUCCAUAGCAUGUGGACUUGAAUUUAUAUCCUGCCUUUACAGCCCAGAUUCCUGUGGUGUAGAGAGAGGCAGGCCGUCAAUGCAGCCCACAUCUGAUGUUCCUGGGCUUAUUAUUAUUAUUAUUAUUAUUAUUAUUUUUUGAGAUGGAGUCUUGCUCUGUCUCCCAGGCUGGAGGGUAGUGGUGUGAUCUCGGCUCACUGCAACCUCCACCUCCCGGGUUCAAAUGAUUCUCCUGCCUCAGCCUCCCAAGUAGCUGGGAUUACAGGCGCUCGCCCCCACACCCAACUAAUUUUUGUACUUUUAGUAGGGACAGGAUUUCACCAUAUUGGUCAGGCUGGUCUUGAACUCCUGACCUCAGCUGAUCCACCCACCUUGGCCUCCCAAAGUGCUGAGAUGACAGGCGUGAGCCACUGAGCCUGGCCUAGGUCUUAUCAAAGCUCUGAAACUACUCCUGGGGUCACACUGGUGAUGCACAGUGUCCUUAGAUCACGUGCCUGCAUUCAGAAGCAGCCCUUGUGCUCUGCACACCCCACUGGGGACCUUCACAGACGCUUCACCUGGCACACACAGCCAAGGACAGGGCAGCACUCAGAGCUACUCCACCAAGCCCGAAACCUACUUGCUCUACCUUUUGCUCUUUCCUUUAUAUUUUUUUUCAUAAUGUGGAGGUCAGACGGAGGCAGCAUAUUAACUCUUAGCACUGACCUGAAUGUUCUACUUGAGCAGGUCUAGGAAAGCAAGGUCUGUAAAAUGCCUGCUCGCGAUUGUUGAGUACGAUGUUUCACAAAACUGGAGAAUAUCAACACAGUGCCAUUCCAAACUCCUUAUUUUAUAGAAAAUAAAUGGAGGCCUGGAGAUGGUAAAGGACUUUCAGCAGGGUUAUGACAAAACCAUAAACCUGAUGAUGCCUGAAGUGUCCAGACUUCCAAAUUCAUGCGGUUUGGAGAAUGUUCUGCCUGACAGCAGCAGGGAGUUGUAAGCAGGUUCAGCGUCAUCCAGAAAUGCUUGUGUCAGACCACCGCUUCCACAGAGGGUUCUGCAGAGAUAAAAGUAGACAAGAUGGCGAGGAAAAGGUUAAACACUCCCAUUCUCUAGGAUUGCCUGGCAUAAUUCUUUGUGCUCAUGGAUGUCAUCGUCAAGAUUCGCGACUGUGGGCAGGAAUGUGCAGGUGGGGGAGUCAGCACCAAUGAAUCCUAUUAAUUCAUGCCAG